CGUUUACCAACCGCCGAAAAUGACCUUUCUCCCCCUUGGGUGUACCCCAUAAGGUUGCUUUGGGCGGGUCGACCUGGUUCCGACCCAGCCGGCCGGCGCCCCCAGCCUUACUGGCCAGGACGCCCCGGCUAAGUGCCCGCCAGAAUACAAAACUCAAGAAUUCAUUUUGUGAAGUCCUGAUAUAUCAUUUAAUNGAUUAAAACUUUCAACAACGGAUCUCUUGGUUCUGGCAUCGAUGAAGAACGCAGCGAAAUGCGAUAAGUAAUGUGAAUUGCAGAAUUCAGUGAAUCAUCGAAUCUUUGAACGCACAUUGCGCCCUCUGGUAUUCCGGAGGGCAUGCCUGUUCGAGCGUCAUUUCAACCCUCAAGCUCUGCUUGGUAUUGGGCAACGUCCGCUGCCGGACGUGCCUUGAAGACCUCGGCGACGGCGUCCUAGCCUCGAGCGUAGUAGUAAAAUAUCUCGCUUUGGAGUGCUGGGCGACGGCCGCCGGACAAUCGACCUUCGGUCUAUUUUUCCCAAGG
rnacentral:rRNA from 1 species